rnacentral:misc_RNA from 1 species
AACGCACAUUGCGCCCGCCAGUAUUCUGGCGGGCAUGCCUGUUCGAGCGUCAUUUCAACCCUCAGGCGCCCCCCCAUUCGGGGGACCUGGUGUUGGGGACCGGCGACGGCGGGAGGCUCCUCCUCCUCCUCCUCCUGGGGGGGGGGGGGUUCAAGCCGCCCGCCCGCCGCCCCCGAAAUGAAUUGGCGGUCUCGUCGCGGCCUCCUCUGCGUAGUAGCACAACCUCGCAACAGGAGCGCGGCGCGGCCACUGCCGUAAAACGCACGCAACUUCUCAAGAGUUGACCUCGAAUCAGGUAGGAAUACCCGCUGAACUUAA